rnacentral:lncRNA from 1 species
AACCAAAAGACCAUAUCCAAACUUGCUACAAGAACUUUUCACUUCACGUCACCCUUUCAUGACAUUCAAAAACCUGCAUAAAAACAUAUGUAAUACUAGUACAGAGUACAGAGUACAGAGUACAGAAUUAUAUCAACAAAUCAGUGGAGACAUUUUAACUAUGGGCCAGUGCAUCAGAAGAUCUAGGUUUCUCAGGAGAAAAUGGAUAUUGUGCAGAAAUGGUGAACAAGACACACAGCAGCCAAGAACCUGGAGAGAGGGAGAAAGUUCAUCUGGACUGAAAUAACUCCAGAAGAAAUGAAGAAGUUCACAGACUGUACAGGAACGUUCAUGGCCAUUUGAUCUAAUCUUCAUAUGAGUGACCCAGAGGAAAAUGAUCAGAAAAAUGGCACCGAGGAUUAUGACCACCUCCACCGGGUCAGACCUCUCAUGGAAAUGAUAUGAAUGAACUGCAAGGCCAUCUACCACCCAAGACAGCACCUUGCAGUCGACGAGAGGAUGGUUGGUACCAAGGCCAGGCUCAGCAUCAAGCAGUACAUGAAGGCCAAGCCAACAAAGUGGGGGCUGAAGUUCUUUGUGCCUGCUGUCAUGAAC